AAGUGGGCCAGCAUAUCUGGGCACAUCUUCCUCCACUCAGAAACACAAAAGGAAUUACAGACAUUGAAAGACCCUAGGAAUCUCGAGGAUGUACUCUUCUGUGGUAAAAAGCGUUGCUGGAGCAGCAGCUUAUGAUGAGAAGAAAUCAGGUAGGAUUGCCUCACUCGCCCUGUGGUUUCAGAAAAGCUUUUGCCCAGAUCUUUCCCCAGUGGCAAAAGGGGACUACAGAAGAAAUUGACAUUCUCAGUGCAAACAUUAGUUGGCCAAUUUCCAUUACGCCUAGUGACUUCAAAAUACUUAAAAAUUAUGAGAGUCAGCUGUGUGAAGUCCUCCAGGAUAAGUUUGGUUGUGUCUCUACCCUGGUCUCUCCAGCCCUUGAAGAUCACACCAAAUCUCUGCGAGUCUUCAGAAAAAUGCUGAUACCUGGGUUAGAAGUAUCGGUCUGGAAGGAUGACCUCACCACACAUGUUGUUGAUGCUGUGGUGAAUGCGGCCAAUGAGCGCCUCCAACACUUGGGAGGCCUGGCCCUGGCCCUGGUGGAAGCUGGUGGCCCUGAAAUCGAAGAGGACAGCAGAAGCCAUAUUGUCAGACAUGGUAAAGUAACAACUGGUACGAUAGCCAUCACGAGAGCAGGCAGGCUUCCCUGCAGAUGGAUCAUCCAUGCGGUUGGGCCUUAUUGGACAGGAAGGGACGAACAGAGAUGUGUUGAAGAGCUGAAAUGUGCCAUUACACAUAUUCUAGAUUAUGUCAACUGUACAAACGUGCACGUUAAGGCAGUCGCAAUUCCAGCCCUAAGCUCUGGGAUCUUCCAGUUUCCUCUGAAUUUGUGUACACGCAUCAUUGUUGAAACUAUCAGAAAGUACUUCGGAAUGAAGCCAGUGGCUGGUAAUUUGAAAGAAAUUCACCUGGUGAGCAAUGAGGACCCUACUGUUGCUUCCUUUAAAACUGCUUCAGAAAACAUCCUAGGGAAGAACGAGCUGGAAUCCUUGACUUUCAGCGCAGAAAUGGCAAAGGAUAAGUCCAUGUUGUCCAGUGUCAACAAUUUCAGUGCCGCUCCUUGGAAACCCUACGGGGCAGUUCUACUCUGUCCUGUAGGGUCACUAUUAGUCGGAAUCAACUCGACAGCAACAGCCUCCCAGUGGACUAGAGAGGAGAAAAGAGAAAAUGGGCUCAAAGCUAACUCUCCUGUCAUCAAUCUGAUGGGAUCCAACAAUGAAGAGAUGCGUGAGGCUGAAGCGUGGAUCUGGGGGCUACUGAUCUUCCAGGGGCAGUACACCAUUGAGAAUAAUCACAUUCUCUACCUUGGGAAAAAGGAACAUGACAUUUUGUCUCAGCUUCAGAAAACCUCAAGUGUCUCCAUCUCAGAGAUUAUCGAUUCAGGAAAGGCAAAGUUAGAAAUUAAAGGAGCCCAAGCUGACGUCAUUGAGGUGGUUAUGAACAUCGAACAUACGCUAUGUGACGUUCAGGAGGAAGUGGCAAAAAAAAAGGAGCGAGAUCUUUGGAGCUUAUUAGGACAAUGGACUGGCCAGCAACCAAAAAACCAGGAUGAAAGGAAAGAAAAUAUCAAUCCCGUGAAAAUUCCUCUAACGUUUUCGACUCAAGCACUUCAGGAUAAAAAGAAACAGUUUGAAAAAUGUGGUUUUCAGGUUAUAAAGGUGGAGAAGAUAAACAACGAGGUUUUGAGUGCUGUCUUCCAAGCAAAGAAGAAAAUGAUGGAAGGGAAGGCACGCAAGGAGCCUGUAAGCCACAGUUUGUUUCAGCGAGUCCCACGCCAGUUCUGUAAUGUGGUCUGCAGAGCUGGCUUUCAAAGAAUGUACCAGAUGCCCUGUGCAGGCCAAGGGAAGAUGCUCUAGAAGCCCACUGCCAGCUGAUGUUCUUCCAAGGAUCUCUGUAUAGCCUCAGGGGCCACUGACGGCCAGCCUUGUGGUUCCCUCAGCAACGCCAGAACCAAACCAAGCCCACUGCUGUUGAGUCGACCAGUCUUGUGGUUCCCUCAGCAACGCCAGAACCAAACCAAGCCCAUUGCUGUUGAGUCGAUCCUGACUCAGCGACCCCAAGGCUGUAAGUCUUUAAGGAAGCAGACUGCCACAUCUUUCCCCCGUGGAGGAGCAGCUGCCGUCUAGUCAACUCUGACUCAUGGUGACCUUAUGUACGACUGAGCAAAACGUGGCCCAGUCCUGCAUCAUCACAAUCGUUAGCGUGUUCAGGCCCGUCACUGCAUCUGUAGGGCCAGUUCAUCUCAGUGAGGGUCUCCCAUGCCUUCACUGGUCCUCUGCUUCACCAAAUAUGAUGUCCUCCUCCAGCGAUCAAUACCUCCCGAUGACAUGUCCAAAACAAUCCGUGUCAGUCUGGAAGCUCCACUGAAACCUGUCUACCAGGGGUGACCCUGCUGGUAUUUGAAAUACCAGUGGCCUAGCUGCCAGCAUCAGAGCAACACGCAGACCACCACAGCACAACAAACUGACAGAUGAGUGAUAGUCUUCCGACUUACAAGUCUGUAUUUCUGACCGUCUUUUGGACAUCUUCACCUAGAUGUCCCACAGGGCCUCCAAUUCAGCAUACCUCAAACUGAGCUCCUCUUUUCUUUACCAUGCUUUUCCCUAAGAAAUAUGCUCUUUGUUUUCUGACACACCCUAACCUCAUUAGUACCAUCACAAUGUACCUACCAGGUCUCCUAAGCUAGGAACUUUGUUACCAUUCCUGCCCUUCUAUAUCCAGGCAGUUACCCUGUCCUAUUGAUUCUCAUAAGGUCUCAACCUAGCUUCACCUAUUUCUACUUCCUUAGUUCAUCUUCCCCUAGGCCUAGACUACUACCAGGUCUUUCCCUCCUUCAAGCCCUACCCUAUUUAAAUCUGUCCUUUACUCUGCCACCAGAAUUAUCAUGCUAAAAAAUUACAUUUUUGCUUAAUAUCUCUAUUCCCAGUUGCCUACAAGAUAAAAACCCAAACUCCUUAGCAAAGCAGAUAAGGUCCUAGCUACAUGUUAUUUCACCAACCUAAUCACCCGCUAUGUUUCUCAACACUCUAGCCGUGAACUUUAACACGUAUAUACUUCCAUGCCUCUAUGCCUUCAUAAGUACUGUUCCCUGUGCCUGGAACGCUUGUCCUCCUCACUCUUUAUAGCCUGCAAACUUCUUUCUGCAAGACACAGCUCAAACGGCAUCUCCAAGUUGACACCUUCCCCUACUUCUGUAGGCCCAGUGAGUUGCAUCUUCCUCUGUGCUCCUGUACUUCCUCCAUUCUUUUGUUACAACAUCUAUAACAAGUACAAAAAUGUACAGUCCCACAAAACUCAGGAGUGAGACUUGUUUUCUUUGUGGCUCUAUAAUGGAACUUUACCUAGCUAUCAUGCUGUCAUGUCCAUAGAUGUGGAAAACUCCAUCUUGCCAGUGCAAGGUGAACUCAGUCCUUUUCAGAGUCUUCUUAGUGCCUUCAAGUUUCAAUUCAGUUCCUACAAGAUUUCACCCCUUUUCCUUUCCUUCUCCAUGAGGGUGAUAUAGCUGGUGGGAAGGCAUUGUGGCGUUGGUGGUCUGGUUCAUGGCCUCCAUUUGUCCUUUGCCUCCAUCUGUCUUCUGCCUACUUGCUAGAUAAGCCACUCUGGGCUUUGGUUAUUAGCACCCACCUGUGCUUAAAUGGAAACCCUCAUGGUGUAGUGGUUAAGUGUUAUGGCUGCUAACCAAAAGGUCAGCAGUGUGAAUCCACCAGGCACUCCUUGGAAACUCUAUGGGGCAGUUCUACUCUGACCUAUAGGGUCGCUAUGAGUUGGAAUCGUUUGUGCUUAAAUUUCCUGUGCCCUUUCCUCUUAGGUAGGGUCUACACAGGCCAUUCUGCCUUUUUCAUGCCAGAGGAAUCCCUUCCCAAACCACAUUUGCACCGCUCCUGCAGCACAGAAAUUUUUGUGUACAUCCUGUAAACUGAGAUACAGGGUCUUGUGGGAUAGUACUAGACUGUUUUCCUGGACAUCUUCCUCAGUUAUUUCUAUUCUCCACUCAGGAACCAGGUUACAUGGGGAAGCUGCUCCCAGCAGAGACGGGCAAUGGUCCCUUCUGCUCUGGGAGUCCCACUAGUUUUUCUUAGAUUUCUGUUGUGUCACCUCAUCUUGAACUCCAUGGCUCUCUCUGGGGAUGGAGGGAGUGCAGCAGAGUGAGCCCUUCUCAGUGUCCCCAAGAGCUCUAAUCAUUUCCCCUCUGAUUCGUCUCGAUAAAAGAAAAAAAAAAAAUUUUUUUUUUUUUUUUUAAUAGGCUGGAAUAAUUUUAUCUGCCUUGAGAUGAGAAAACUACCCUUCUUCCCUCCUCUGCCAUUUAUGGUAUAAACUUUGUGUUCUAGCCCUGUGGCUCACAAAGCCCUUUCUCUCUCAGAAAGCCUGACUCUGAAGACCAUAUUCUCUGCUGUGAAUUAAAAGCAAUGAUCUCUGCCUGUCACACUCUUUCUCUCUGUCACACACACAUUUUCCGAGGUAAUAAGUAGCAAAAGCUUAAUAGGUAGAGGAACAAAUGGUAAGAAGAAACUCCCAGGAAAGAAAAACCAUUGAUUUUUAUCUCAAAACUCUACCUUGCCACAUAAAAUUGUCCUAUAUUAUCUCUUUAAUAUGUGGAGUUCCCUUUGUGAACUUUUGAGGACAGGGAUCAUGUCUCAGUCAUUUUUGAAGCCUAGAGCUACACUGUCCAACAUGGGAGCCACUAGCCGCAUGUGGUUAUUGAGCAGUUCAAAUAUGGCUAAUCCAAGUGGAGAUGUGCUCUAAGUGUAAAAUACAUACUGGAUUUUGAAGACUUAAUACAAAAGAGAAUAAUGUAAAAUAUCUCUUUAAUUACUUUUUUUGUUGAUUACAAGUUGAAAUAAUAUCUUGAAUAAUUGGGUUAAAUAAAAAAAUUAAUUUCACCUAUAUCUUUUUACUGUAACAUGACUACUGGAAAAUUAAAAAGCACGUAUGUGGCCGACAUUACACUCCUAUUUUUAACGCUGCUGUACAGCCUGAAAUGGUGUUCAGUUAGGUCCUGAGUAAAUGUUAAGAGAGAUGGGGGAAAGAAGGAAGGGAAAAAGGAAGAAAGAAGUGAGAAUAUGGCAUCAAAGAAGUUAUUAUUUUUUCCUCUUUUAAGAUUUUUUUUAAGUAGGGGUAGGAAGAGCAUUGAACAAGGAUUACCCUGAGGUCCAGAGUUUGGCCCUCAGCCUGUUGGGUAUUGUUAGUACUCUAGAGAAGAUAAGUCGUAAGCAUUUAUGCCAGAAUGGAGCAUAUUUAUUUCCAGUGGUUGGAAUACUUGCGUCUUUCUUGGUAUCACAGUACCCAGGAUGCUUGAUGGGUGGCACAUUGACUGGUGAGCAUGGCUCUAGCUCAAAAGCAUGUGGAGAUUCUUUGUGGGGUUUCUGCUAGGCCAUGGUGAGAACUGGUGACUUAUCCAUGCCCCACAAUAAAGAAUACCCCUCUAGUGACCAGAAUAUGGAUGUUCCCGAGAUCCAGAGUCUUUCUUCCUAAACAUUGCAGUGUGCACAUUGACACUAUUUUUAUAAGCUUUACUUUUCCUCUAUUUUGACAUAUUUUCUUGAUAUGCUGCCCCUGAGUUAGGGAGACACACUGCCUUCUCUUAUUAGGUGUUGAUUGCAUUAACCCAAUUCUCAAGAGUUCUAGAGGUGCCCCUAUGUGUAGCAGGUAGAAGUUGGGCAUUGUUCUAAGAGAACAUUAUGCUGUCUUUGUCAGCAGCUUAGGUGAUAAUGUUGACUUGAGUCACAAUCUCUAUAAACCUCAGAUUUGUCAUCUGUUAAGUGGAGAUACUACCCAAAUCACAGAUUAACUGAAGAUAAUCCAUGUAAAAAUGCUUUGGAAACCAUAGAUUUCACUAAAAAGCCUAAUGGUGUAGUCAAAUAUAAGCUCUUAUUAUGUUGAUGAUAAUCAAUGAUAAAUUGCCUCAAGAGAACAUCUUUGUGUAUCUGCGACAGACACAGGGACUUGAGACCAGGAGGAGGCAAUUAUUUGGAGGACCUUAGAGAUAACACACAUUUAGUACUCAAAUAGGCAAUAUGACUUGCCAGAUCAUAAUAGUAUUUUU